rnacentral:lncRNA from 1 species
CCUAAGUCCUAAUUAAUGCCAGGGCUUUGGAGAAUAUGAGAAAAGCAUUUUCUGGCAUGCUGGAGACAGGUAUGGAAGAUAUCUGGGGUUUGAGAGCCACAACCAAAUGUUGAGGAGCUUGCUGAACCCCAGAAGACUGACAGCUCUGAGGACCCACAUUAGAGUUGGGGAGUUUCCAUGGAUCGCUCUCUGUUUUGUUCUCAUAGCACCAUGAAACUUGACACAUGGACCAAGAAAGCAAAGGCUCUUCCAAGAUACCUCCUCUCCAGUCUG